rnacentral:misc_RNA from 1 species
UCGCGGCUUAUCACCGGCAGUCUCCUUAGAGUGCUCAACUAAAUGGUAGCAACUAAGGACGGGGGUUGCGCUCGUUGCGGGACUUAACCCAACAUCUCACGACACGAGCUGACGACAACCAUGCACCACCUGUCAUCCUGUCCCCCGAAGGGGAAGGCCCUAUCUCUAGGGUGUUCAGGAGAUGUCAAGACCUGGUAAGGUUCUUCGCGUUGCUUCGAAUUAAACCACAUGCUCCACCGCUUGUGCGGGCCCCCGUCAAUUCCUUUGAGUUUCAGUCUUGCGACCGUACUCCCCAGGCGGAGUGCUUAAUGCGUUAGCUGCAGCACUGAGGGGUGGAAGCCCCCCAACACUUAGCACUCAUCGUUUACGGCGUGGACUAC